UACAGAGACUGCAAGCGUUAUUCGGAUUCACUGGGCGUAAAGGGUGCGCAGGCGGCUAGAUGUGUCAGGUGUGAAAUCCCGAGGCUCAACCUCGGAACUGCGCCUGAAACUAUUUAGCUAGAGUAUUGGAGAGGGUAACGGAAUUCACGGUGUAGCAGUGAAAUGCGUAGAUAUCGUGAGGAACACCAGAGGCGAAGGCGGUUACCUGGACAAUUACUGACGCUCAGGCACGAAAGCGUGGGGAGCAAAA
rnacentral:rRNA from 1 species